GACGAACGCUGGCGGCACGCUUAAAACAUGCAAGUCGAACGUGAAGCCCGGGCUUGCCCGGGUGGAAAGUGGCGAACGGGUGCGUAACACGUGAGCAACCUGCCCCGAAGACCGGGAUAACACCGGGAAACCGGUGCUAAUACCGGAUGCCUUCACCAUGUCGCAUGGCGAGGUGAAGAAAUGGAUUCCGCUUCGGGAUGGGCUCGCGGCCUAUCAGCUUGUUGGUGGGGUAAUGACCUACCAAGGCAACGACGGGUAGCUGGUCUGAGAGGAUGUCCAGCCACACUGGGACUGAGACACGGCCCAGACUCCUACGGGAGGCAGCAGUUAGGAAUCUUGCGCAAUGGGCGAAAGCCUGACGCAGCGAUGCCGCGUGCGGGAUGAAGGCCCUCGGGUCGUAAACCGCUUUCAGCAGGGACGAUUAUGACGGUACCUGCAGAAGAAGCCCCGGCCAACUACGUGCCAGCCGCCGGUAACAC
rnacentral:rRNA from 1 species